UUUUGUUGUACAAGCAUUGAUUAUAUAUUUUGCUCCCCAAUCUUAAAACAAAUAACUCAAACUGAUUAAUUGUGGGUCAUGACAUCAGUGUUCACAGGGAAUUAUAUAUGCAUCUCACCACGAUUUCAGGUACCAAUCAUGUUCGUACCUGAACAGUCUUGAACCUGUUUCACCAGAUCCCGAUGUUGCGUAUUUGCUUUUAUAUGUUUUGUUGGCCCAUUAAAAAGCAAAAGCGUUUGAUCCAUGUGCCAUGAAAAAAGCUUGUAAACUUAUCCUUUUUCCCCCUCCCAUGAAAGAUUAUAAAGUUACAAAGGCAAUUGGAAAAUAUUCUUCAAUCAAGUAAAGGAAAACAGAUGGACAGAAUGUUUUCUUGGUGGGUAAUGAGCCAGAACAAAGUGUUGCAUAGCUUUGCUUUUAUUUUUCUUGUGUUUCGUUCCAAAGUCAAUGGGGGCCUCAUCUCCAAUGCCGAGGGGACUUUGGCCACUACUAGUAGCUUAGUAUCAGCCAUUGUUACUUCUCUAUUCCAACUGUCAUUCUGUAGUGUAUGGUGUCUGC
rnacentral:lncRNA from 1 species